AGGGUUGGUGUGUCCUCACCAGCAGUAAGCAGUACGUAAUCACUCCUCAAGUAACCCGUACUCCUGCCAGUCCUUCGUCAGAAGAAACAGAAAGUCCACGUCCUCGUCAUUUUCUGUUGCUGGAGUAUCAGAUGAUUCUCGUCGUGACUCUUUUACACCGUGUCCUUUGCAAGUCUUCCUGUCGUGACAUACACUGCGCCCUACAGCUAUCUUCAUGCCAGGACAGUUAAUACUUCUGGUAGUAACCUCGUCUCCCGAUAGCUUCGUACGAGCACCUUUAACCCUUUAUCUCGUCAAUAUUCCAUUGACAUCCUACGCCUAUUCUACAAGAACAUUCCCUUGGAAACGCAUAUUAAUGUUCGUAUCUCCAGGUGUAGGCUUCUUCGGUGAAUAAACCUUCAAUUUUAGA